UGGCGAUUGGUGGGUUAAUAGUUUCAGGAAGCGUAAGCCUAAUUACAUUACAUGAACGACGGCUUUCGGUAUCCUUCAGUUGAAAAUUAUUGAACAAUUAACGAACCAUGGCUUAUCAUCGACACCAUUCAUUUCCAAGCGAUGUAGCACACCAGGAACGUCAAUUUGGUGAUGAUAGACGACACAGGAUUAGCAGCAUCCCACAACUUUGGAAGUCUUAUUUGUACCAGUUACAACAACAAGCUCCUACUCCAAAAAGAAUCGUGUGCACCAGAGAAGUUCUUUACAGACCUUUCCAUUAUGGAAGAGAGUAAGUACUGUUGUCUCUUUUCUUAUUGUAGGUGGAUAUUGAUAUAACUUUUCCGUACUGAAACUCUU